CCUANGGGAGGCUGCAGUCGAGAAUCUUCCGCAAUGGACGAAAGUCUGACGGAGCGACGCCGCGUGGAGGAUGACGUUCUUCGGAAUGUAAACUCCUUUUGCCAGGGAAAAAGUUUAUUGAUUGUACCUGGAGAAUAAGAAGUUGCUAAACUCGUGCCAGCAGCAGCGGUAAUACGAGUGCUUCAAGCGUUAUCCGGAAUCAUUGGGCGUAAAGGGUGUGUAGGCGGUUAUGUUAGUCUCGCGUUAAAUCUUUCGGCUCAACCGAGAGUCUGCGUGGGAAACGGCAUGACUAAGAGGAUGGUAGAGGUCUUCGGAACUCAUGGUGUAGCGGUGAAAUGCGUUGAUAUCAUGGGGAACACCAAAAGCGAAGGCAGAAGACUGGACCACUCCUGACGCUGAAACACGAAAGCGUGGGUCGCGAAUGGGAUUAGAUACCCCANUANUC
rnacentral:rRNA from 1 species